AAUGGAUACCGACAGUUGCAAUGAUUUUCCACUUUUCUAAUAAGAACGGGUCUUUGCUUUCGUUGGCAGAUGUAUUUAUAAUUUGACCACAAUUCUCGCGUAAAGUGGAGUGUUGAUUAGAUGGUCCCAUCAAUUUUACAGUUGAAGAUUCUCGCGUAUGUUCGUGAAAGAAGCUCUAAGAAUUAGCCGGUUUUCGGCCGUUCGCAAUCAGCUAAACAGAUGCGUAUGAACGUGUAUCCGAAUGAGCCCUAUAUACAGCCGGUGCCGGGUCGUUUGUAGUCCGAUAACAGAUGUGUUACGUGCAGCCCUCUUCAUAGGCUUAAAUGUGAAAAGAGCCCUAAGAAUGAGCCGGUUUAGGGUCGUCUAGAGUCAGCUAAACAGAUGUGUAUAGAUGUGUAAACAAAUAAAUCAAAUCUACAGCCAGUUUCUGAAAGGGUUCAGCUAUACAGAUGUUGGUGUCGGCACAAUUCUUCAAAAGAUCGAUUAGCAAUUCAUUUUUUAUUGAUUCAAUGUUUCUUACAAUUAUAUGAGGUAAUUGUUUUGUGUCCAUUCAUGUUAAUGUCAAGAUAUUCCGUGAAUAAAAAUUUAUCAAAUUUUACAAUGUAAACAUUCUCGCGUAAAUGUAGAGUGUUCAUUGCACACAUUU